rnacentral:rRNA from 1 species
UACAGAGACUGCAAGCGUUAUUCGGAUUCACUGGGCGUAAAGGGUGCGCAGGCGGCUAUGUGUGUGAGGCGUGAAAGCCCGGGGCUUAACCCCGGAAUUGCACCUCAAACUACAUGGCUAGAGCAUUGGAGAGGGUAGCGGAAUUUACGGUGUAGCAGUGAAAUGCGUAGAUAUCGUGAGGAACACCAGCGGCGAAGGCGGCUACCUGGACAAUUGCUGACGCUCAGGCACGAAAGCGUGGGGAGCAAAAGGG